rnacentral:tRNA from 1 species
GGGGGUUUAGUAUAAUGGCAGUACCACGGACUCCAAACCCGUUAAUAAAGGUUCGAAUCCUUUAACCCUCGCCA